ensembl:lncRNA
AUAAACAAUAUAUUAUGGGCUAGAGUACAAGACUUGGAUAAUUUUAAAUAUAAAACACUUUAAAGAGAAUUCAUACUUGGAGUAUUUGUUUGAAACCACCGAAGGGGCAUGAAUGCAUUUGUUUUUGUUGGGAGGGAAUGUUUAGAAUCCUCUGGCCUGGAGUUUUAAAGGGAAGUUCUCAAAUUGGUGUACACGAGCCUUAAGACAUGCUCCUGCUUCUGCUCCUGCUCCUGCUUUGACCCUUGAGUGUUGGAGAGCCCCAGAGUCCUGGGCCACCUUCUCUCCUCAGUCCUGGGCUACAUUCUCUUCUCUGUACUCUCCAUAGGUGAUUUCAUCCACUCUCAUGGCUUUAAAUAGCAUUUAUAUACUGGUGACCCACUUUUUUCUAUCAGUCCCUGCCCUGCCCUGAUCUCUAGAUCCAGGUCUUUAACUUCCUAUCCAGCAUUGCCUCUUGAAUACUUAAUAGCUAGACCACAUGCACAUCAUAAACAGAACUUUCGACUUUCUCAGUCCCCAGAAGCCUUACUUUCUAUUACUCUCAUCACUUUACCUUGUUAAAUGUUUGUCAGAGAACCCACAUGAUAAGGUAAGCCCCAUGGAGCCAAAGCCUUCGUCUAUGAUGGCCUUCAACUUGGUUAGAGCCUAGAACAACACCUGACACACAGUAGGGGCCAAAUAAUCAUUCACUGAAGGAAUGAAGAAAUGAACACCCUUUUCUCUUUUGGAAUCUUUCCAAAUAGCCUUCUCCCUCCCUCCACCUCUUUCUCACUAGUUCUCUUUUACUGCAUCAACUCUGGUCUGCUUUGCCAUUUCCUAAAUGCAAAAGGGUCUUUUAUGAUGCUUGCUUUCCCCCCUACCUAGUAAACUCCUACUACCUUGGGGAAAUAGCCUGCUCUGCUUUUUCUAUGCACUCAUACAAUUUUGUACAUAAAUCCUUCAUAAAAUUAUAUUUAGAUUUCCAAAUAAGCUGGAUAUGCCAGUCAUUGUAUGAUCCUCCUCAAGGAAACAACAACCCCAGGCAACAAAUAAAAAGGCUGAAGCCAGAAGAGCACAUUCUGAACUCCAGAAUGUCACCAGACAGUUUUUUCAGGGAUCAGUCUGUCCAAUCACAAAGUUUUGAUAGAUUUUAUUCACUUUGAUGAACGAAUUGUUUUUCUUUAUAAAAAGGUACUUCAGCAUCGUGGUGAAAUGUGCAAGUUCAGGAGUCAAAACUGCCAGAAUUAGAAUUCUGAUUCUACUUUUCCUGUCUGUAUGAUCUUGGAAAAACAAUUGAAACUCUCUGUCUCAGUUUCCCCAUCUGCAAAAUAGAGACAGUAAUAGUGCUACGUAAUAAGAUUGUCAUAAGGAUGAUAUGAGACAAUAUAGUUACAAUAUACUUAGAACUGUGCUGAACACAUGGGAAGAGCUCCAUAGAGCUUAGAUAUUAUCAUCAUCAUCAUUACAAAUGCACAGCAUGUGAAAACUAUUUUUUCAAAGUAAGUUACUGGUCAGUGUUCACGCCCACUUCUAAAAAAAUGCUUUUCUUUAUUUAGAACAAUUAAGAGGUCAAAUAAGUAAACUCAGGACAAAACUAUUUUGGGGAAAUAUACCUAAACAGAAUUCGGGAGAAUACAGAAAACUCAGGAAGAAUCAUCACAUUCUCAGAUGUUGACUCAUAUCCUCAUCCUGAAUAAAAUUGUGGGCACAUAUCAACACACACUUCAACAUUCAUCUUCCGUUUAGUGGGUUGUCAUCAUGAAGCCAGUUCUUCAUGGGUGAAAAUUAGAUAUUAAUCCUGCUGUCCUAAAGUUUAUUGAUUGCCAAGCUCUUCUGUUCUAGGGGUUAAUCUGGACCUUUGGCUCAGAAUGAAAAGUACAGCUACAUCAGAGUGAUGUGGUUACUCACAUCACUAAACAUGGAUGCAUGGUACUGUAAAACUGGAGUAGAGAAAGGUAACUGCAUUAGGUAAAUAAAGCACACAGAUCUUCUGCUUAUAUACAGAAAAUAGCACUAUCUGUUUCAGUCUCGAAAUAAUCAGAGUAAGAAAAGUUUCUUGAAAACUAAAAAUAUGAUGAUGAACAAAAUUAGACGGUAGAAGAGUUAGAAGAUAAGGUCAAGAAAAUCUGGAAAACAUAAAAAGACAGAACUAGAAAAUAUAAGAGAAAAAUAAGUAUCAAAAAAUGGAUGCAGUGGAUUCAAUAGACAGCUCACUGGAUAACCAUAACUGGAUAACUGGAUAACCAAAGAGAAAAUUUAGAGCAAAUACAGAGGAAGAAAUUAUCAAAGAAUUAAUAAAAAAGAAUUCCCAGAACUGAAGGCCAUUACUCUUUAAAUCGAAAGGGUCCAUCAAGUAUCCAGCUAAAAUGAACAGAAAAACUCCCACACUUUUAAAUAUUUCAGUGAAAUUUCAGAACAUCAAGGAUAAAGAGGAUAUCCUCAAAGCUUCAAGAAAGAGAGAGAAAAAAUCAACUAAAAAGGAAUGUAUGAACGUGUGAACGACAUGGGACUUCUCUCAACGCUUCUAGAUCCUAAAAGGUAAUGGAGAAAAGCCUUUAAUAUUAUGAGGAAGAAAAUUAUUUUCAGUCUAAAAAUCUAUGCCUGUUCCAACUAUCAUUGAAAUGUGAAAAGAGAAUAAAGAUAUUUUUUGGACAUGGAAAAACUCAAAGUUUACCUCCCGUUUAGCUUCUCUUAGGAAAUUUGUUGGGAGUGCACAUCAGCAAAAUGAAGAGUCAAAAGAAGAAAGACUUGUCCAGGUGCUCUAGAAAUUGGUCAGGCAAGAGCAAGACAAAAGACCUGAGGGCCACGGAGAGAAGUAUCCAGAAGAAAAGGGGGUUCUGUGAAUAUGAUCAAAUCUAUAUUGUCCUUGAGAGAAUUAGAAAUGCUGAGAGAGGAAGACUAAGGACUUUAAGACUAUAAGAGAAAAUGAUUAUAGCACAUUUUUUGGCUUGGCAAUGAAAAUAUGUAUGACAUCUUAUUAGUUGUAUACCUUACUGAUUUGCAACUUUUAGAAUUAGCCCACAAAAUAAACCGUGGCAGACUUAAUUACUAUAAAAAAUAAUUAUCAACCUUUUUAAUAAGAAGAAAUACAGAAGAUAAAAUUUAAGAAAUGGAGAGGGAGGGCUGGAAAACAGGUGAGGGAAAGGUCCGUGCACAAAUUUAAGAAAUAAACUAAAUGGGAAACAAACUUUAAAAAAAACCAAACAUUAAAAAUGUACCGGAAUACAUUUAUGUUACUAAAUAAAUUACACAAGGGGGAAAAAAGGGAAGUCAGAUUCACGAGAACCUAUAUAAAGAGACUGAACUAAACCUUGUGGAUCAAAUGAAAUAAACAUUCUAAAGACCUAACACUAAGAUCUUCAUGCUGUGGGCAAGAAUGCACCCUAACUCAACACCAGCCUAAGACAGCACGACUAUUAUUUGGAUUUCGUGAUCUUAUAACAACCACUUUAAGUAAAAGCCUCAUACAACACAACUAUCGUAUAAAGAGAGUCUUAGUCCUGUUCUCCAACAAUUAAGUACUUCUAUUGGUUCUAUACGACACGAUGUGUGCCUGGGAAAAGUGAAUUCUGUUUAAAAAUAAAAACAAACACACAUGCUGAUGAGUGUUGUCUUUCAAAAUAACCCAGUCCUGCUGCCAAGUUCAAAAUUCUCUCAGUGAACUUUUCCUUUUGGCCAGCCUGAACCCUCUCGGGGAGACAAAAGGAAACACCACCUUAUUAUUUUAUCAUCUGCCCCUAGUUUAUUUUUCACAAAAAUAUGCUUUAUCUAUAUUGACCUCGUACCUUGAUAAUCACCCUUGGUUUCAAAUGACUUUUAACUAACCCCCAAACUAAAUCUGUUAUCAAAGAAAAACUAUUUUCACCUGCUAAGUCUAUUCACAGAUGCCCCCAUAGGCUGCCAGAAGAAGGUCAGCAUUUUGAAUAGUCUUUGGAAUAAGCAUUUAGCCUUGGAUUGUUUGUUUAAAAACUUCCUCCCUGGCAUACCUUACCCAGACAAAGAGAUAUACACCAUAUAAACGUUUGGACCCUCUUCAGGUUGAGG